rnacentral:rRNA from 1 species
UACGUAGGGUGCAAGCGUUAAUCGGAAUUACUGGGCGUAAAGCGUGCGCAGGCGGUUUUGUAAGCCAGAUGUGAAAGCCCCGGGCUCAACCUGGGAAUGGCAUUUGGGACUGCAAGGCUGGAGUUUGGCAGAGGAGACUGGAAUUCCUGGUGUAGCAGUGAAAUGCGUAGAUAUCGGGAGGAACACCAGUGGCGAAGGCGACUACCUGGCCUGUUUCUUGACGCUGAGGCGCGAAAGCUAGGGGAGCAAACGGG